rnacentral:lncRNA from 1 species
CCACGCUGGGAAUGGCGGACACGAGAGAAGAGCGGCUGAAGGCAAAAGCAACUUUUAAGAAGAACCUGGACACUUAACAUGCACACUUUCUCAAAGCUAGGGAUGUUAUGACUCGUGACAGUUAUAAAGUUUGUAAUUAUGUCACGUCUGUCGUAUUUGACCGCAAAAAAAGUACUUUUUGCUCGUAGCUAGUUUUGCACAAUGGGAUUUUCAGCCGUUCCCUGGAUCUAACCCCACGAUCAAAAAGUGACUCUGCGUUCUUCCUGCUUGUAAGAAACUACGAGUUAGGUGAGUAAAAUAACAAUCUUGGAUAUUACUUUAGUGGGAUAUAUUCCUAAAAACAUUUGAUAUGUUAAAACAUAACCAUACGUGUUAAUUACUUCGAAAAGCUAAGCUUGUGAAAUGAACGUGUAUUGUCCUACAGAGGAAGGAACUACAGGCCAAAAGUUUCCUUUGGUAUUUGUUUUUGACACUCAGUCAGUGCAGAGUUCUGUUUCAAAUUAAAGUUGCUAAGCAUCAUUAAACAGUGUGUAGGGAAGUACAUUGUUUAACACUUAUGUAACACAUGGUAAAGUCAGUAAAAUGUCCACACCACCAUUGCAAUGUUUAUUGAUUUAGAAACUUGUACAUGGAUUACAUUAAAACACUUGACUUUACUCCUUCAGGAGGAAGCGUCUGGGAGAGCAAGAGACCUGGAGGCGGAUGUGUUCUGAGGAUACAACAGGAUGUCAUGAUCAUACAGCUCUGAUCUCCUUCGGACUCCUCUCCUGCAGAAAGUGUGGUUCCUCGCUCUCUUCUGCGGACAGCCUGAUCCUGAGCCGCUGACGAACCAUCUCCUUCAUCCUCCUGCUUGGCCUGAUAUCACAACAUUCAGUCUUUAUAAUAAAGUUUUACAAACCAUGUUUGUGCUAUUUCUUUCUGCUGUUAGUAAUUAUGGGUACUGAAGAUUAAUGAAUUUGAUAAGAUACUAAACGGGUAGUAUAACCUAAACUUUGCCAAACAGUUUAACUCGUCUCAAUAGUGUGCACUUGGUUUAAUCAGUCUUGUAUCUGCUGAAGCUUGUUUCUUGGAUGAGUAUGUUCAUCUCUUCUAUAGGGCAUCCUGACAGGAGCUGUGGACACAAACAACAGUAAUAGUAAAAGUAAACAUGCCAACGAUUACACGUGUAUUACACAUACAUCCUUUCUAAGACUAAUAUUCAUGGAAGUAGUGUUUGGAUACAGCGAGGUUAUGAUAUGAAGGCCUACAAAAGAUAACAAAACAAACUCAUAGACUGCAACCAAAAAGAGUGUAUGUACAUAACUCACUUUAUUGUGUAAUGUGUUUAAGUAUUAUGUUUGUAUUUAUUUUCACUACAUGACCUGAGCAUUAGGCUAUUACAAUUUGAAUGUACUAAAGUCUGUGUUCAUUGUUGAUUUGGCUAAACCUUUCCACCUGCUGAAAGACGUUUUAACACUUAAACACUGAUAAUGACACAUACAUUAAAAAUAAAGUAAAAAUGUGUGUUUAUCAUUGCUUAACUAUUACAGAACAUCCACAGAAGUAACUUUGGGCGAUAGCGUUAGCCACGUUAUGCUAACAUUAUUUACUGCUUUUAUCAGUUUA